CGAGGGUGCGAGCGUUAAUCGGAAUUACUGGGCGUAAAGCGCGCGUAGGCGGCUUGGUCAGUCGGAUGUGAAAGCCCCGGGCUUAACCUGGGAAUUGCAUUCGAUACUGCCUGGCUAGAAUGUAGUAGAGGGAAGUGGAAUUCCGGGUGUAGCGGUGAAAUGCGUAGAUAUCCGGAGGAACAUCAGUGGCGAAGGCGACUUCCUGGACUAACAUUGACGCUGAGGUGCGAAAGCGUGGGGAGCAAACAGGAUUAGAUACCCGCGUAGUCC
rnacentral:rRNA from 1 species